CAGCAGCCGCGGUAAAACGGAGGGGGCUAGCGUUGUUCGGAAUUACUGGGCGUAAAGCGCACGUAGGCGGCUUGGUAAGUUAGAGGUGAAAGCCUGGAGCUCAACUCCAGAAUUGCCUUUAAGACUGCCGAGCUAGCAGGUGAGAGAGGUAAGUGGAAUUCCGAGUGUAGAGGUGAAAUUCGUAGAUAUUCGGAAGAACACCAGUGGCGAAGGCGGCUUACUGGCUCAUACUGGACGCUGAGGUGCGAAAGCGUGGGGAGCAAACAGGAUUAGAUACCCCAGUAGUCCCUGUCUCUUAUAC
rnacentral:rRNA from 1 species